ACUGAGCCGGAGGGCCCGUACGGCGGCCGCGGGGCCUCGGCCCGGCCUUUCCGCCGCUUCUGCCGCGGGCCCGGUUCAUUGUCCUUAUUCCCCUCAUCGACGCCUUUUCCCCCCGUUCUCCCCCGCUCUCCUCCAGGCUCACUGGAAGGUCCGGAAGUGCCGCCCCCGGGAGCCGCCAGCGCCAGCCCUGUUCUCGAGCUGUCCUUGCUAAGAAGGGGAUUCUGAGUCACACAUCUGUCUGGCAAGUGUUUUCAUUUCAGUAUUCUAAGAGUUUUUUACUUCAAGAUGAUGUUGAGCUGCGUUAAUGUAGAAAUUGGCUUUAAAGUUACGUCAGCAGCAGUUAGAGAAACUCAGACUUCUUUCUGAUGAGAAAGCACGUAUUUUCAGUGGCCUUUUGGUAAGGCAGUUUAACAAUUAAAUGUCAGGGUAGAGGCCAUAAUCUUAUUGAGUUUUGUUUCUAAUAAAAGAAUUCCUGUGCACAAGACUUAAUGUAAUUUAAGACUGGCAGAAAAAGCUUGAAGCAGUGCUUUUGACAGUACAUGACUUUUUUUUUUUUUGAGCUAUUGUUACAAUGGGUGAAAAGGUCACUCUAUGUAGUAAUACUUACUUAAUCAGAAUUACAGAUAUUGGGGUCUCAUCCUGAUCCAUGUAAAUCAGUCACAUAGCUGUGGUCCUAGAUUUCAUCAUUUUUGAGUUCUAAAGAGGAGGAAAUGUAUGUCUGCCUACAAUGUUUCUGAUAGACUUUUCUUUUGAUUUCAGGUGAGAAGUUACAUCUGUGGAACACCACUAGUGAUGUAAUAGAAGUUUAAUGGCUGUAGUUGCUAUGACUGCUACAACUUGCUUACUUAAGAAGCAAGCAAUUGGUAAAAUUUUGAAAUUAAGGAGCCUUAUUACUAAAAUAACUUCCUUACAUGACUAGGGCAGUGAGGGGAAGGCUUUCUCUAUGGUGAGUAUUACAGAUGCUGUCUGCAACUAGCCUGACUUGUCUUGACUGAAGCAGCAAUCUUCCCCCAGCUCUGAAGAUGCCUGCACUGUGGGAUGAGGUAGUAGGUUGUAUAGUUUUAGGGUCAUACCCACCACUGGGAGAUAACUAUACAAUCUACUGUCUUUCCUAAAGCAGCAGAUAAUCAACAAUGGAAGCUUCUCAGUUUUAAGCUCAAUGUCAGAUUUUGCUGAACUUCUGUACCUGUAGUGCUUAUUAUAGGACAAAAGACUUGUGUAAUAGCUGUGGGAAUUGUGUUUAGAUUUUUCUAGUUCUUGGAAAAGCUAGGUAUCAUUCUGCAUUAAUUUUUCUGCUCUAAUGAAUAAAAAAAAGAGAAUAGAUUAUUCCUGUAUGUAUAUGGAGGGGUAAUCAAAUAUAAAGUACUGGUGUUCCUCUUGUUGGGGUGUUUAACUUUGCUCAGUGACAUAUCAAACAUCCUUCAGAAUGAAACUGGGGUUGGCUGUGUGAGCUCUUUGCUGAAGUGUGUGCUUCUCUGUCAGAGUGAGGUAGUAGAUUGUAUAGUUGUAGGGUAGUUAUUUUACCCUGUUCAGGAGAUAACUAUACAAUCUAUUGCCUUCCCUGAGGAGUAAAACAAACUGCGCUCCCUGCAGUCAGUCGUGGGCUAAAAAUACUCAUGGAGUGAAAACAGAUAAAUCAGGGUUGUAAAGCAUCAGUGCCAGAAUGUACAGGACUGGCAGUCAGUGUGAAUGCUGCAACCCCCACAGGGUAUAUUUGACUUAACAUGACUUGUCUCCCAAGGUGAGUGGCACAGUGCUGGCUGGAGAUGGAAAAUGCCCGUGUUCUAGGUAGGGAGUGGAACACUGCAGAGGGGGAAGUUAUUCCAAGCCAGUCAGGAGAGUGUAAAAUACAGGUGGCUCAAGCUUGUACAUUGUGACUUGAACUGUUUUGACACUCCAGUUUCCAUAAUGUAUUAAAAUUCCAUGACUCCCAACUGCUUGGUGAAAGUUGGAGGGAAAACUUAAAAUUAUCCUUUGUUAAUAAGUCUGCACAUUUUUUCUCCAGCUUUUCCAGAUUCAAUGCAAAAUUUAAGUGUUGGCCAAUUUUGGCCAAAACUGACCUCUCACCUUUCUGGGGGGGUGUGAAGCUAUGGAGUUUGGAGCAUCCAAGAGCCAGCACUUUCCUCUGAGGUAGUAUUGUUUCUGUAAAAAGACUUUUUAAGCUUAUUGCAUUCUCUUUUCUCCUGCUGUCCUUGGUGUACCCAGUCUGUAACUGGUUCUGUGCUAGCAUGCCCAGCAAGCAGCUUGCUGUAGUAACAAAAAUCCCAUGGAAAUAAAUGCUUUUUGGGAUGGCAAGUUUAGCUUAGCCAGAGUGAAAAUGGAGCCAUUCACAAGUGUUACAAGGAGUGAGCCACUGUUAGUAAGUGCUGACAGUGUCCCCUUGGAGUGUGUGCCCAGCCAGGGCAGAAGACCCAGAGCAGCUGGUGAGCUAAAGUCCUCCAGAGAGUGAAGAACUGCACAGAGGAAGCAUUGGGCUCCUAGGAAGAGGUAGUAGGUUGCAUAGUUUUAGGGCAGGGAUUUUGCUCACAAGGAGGUAACUAUACAACCUGCUGCCUUUCUUAGGGCUUUAUUAUAACACCAGGACCAUUUUGGCUUCAGCCUACAAACCUCUGCAGCUUUGGUACAUGGAGAGAAAGGACUUUCUAAGCAUGUUGAGGCUUAAUGAAAGCUGUGUCUUGGCAGAUUUGGUCCCAAAUGGAAGUGUAGGAAUGCUAGCUGGAAUCCAGCAUGGUGACAUUGGGGGCUGCCACUUUGGGGACACUGGGCUGUGGUCUCCUUGAGCUGUGUAAGUCAGAGGCUGUGUUGGGAGGGCAGCUCCUCCCAGAGUAAGCUGGUGGCCCCUGAGGUUAGGAUGGAGGUGGUGUGAACUUGUUAACAUCAAGGUACUGGUACUGUGUGCUCACAGGGAGCUAAAAUACAUCUGCCUUUCAGGGGGAAGAACUCCGGUUUUCCUUCCCCAAGAGAAUCAGAUUCCAGCUCCCCUGAAAUCUGGUGCUUUUUCACCAGGCAUGGGCACUCCAAGUGAAACAGGCUCUCAGUGGUGCCUUAGAGUCUUGCAGGAGGAGACUUCCCAGUUAAAGAUGGUGGUGUGGUUUCUCAUGGAAUUGUUGGAAUGAGUCCAUGUUUUCUGAUGUAAUUGCACUGCACCACAGCAGUAGUUGUGGUAGGGCUCCAGCUGGACACUGUUCUGUGGGGUACAGAGACUUCUUUGCUGAGCACCUUGUAGCAUUAAUAUGCUGUGCUUACGCCAGCCACUGUUUAAACUGCGAAUCAGACACAAUCCUAGAUCAUAAACAUGUUAAGUAUUCCUUAUGUUGAACAUUUUUGUAUGAAUUUUACUGUACUUUUUUUUGUUUUAGUUAAUAAAAUACAGCAUUUUGUGCAA